UACGUAGGUGGCAAGCGUUGUCCGGAAUUAUUGGGCGUAAAGCGCGCGCAGGUGGUUCCUUAAGUCUGAUGUGAAAGCCCACGGCUCAACCGUGGAGGGUCAUUGGAAACUGGGGGACUUGAGUGCAGAAGAGGAAAGUGGAAUUCCAAGUGUAGCGGUGAAAUGCGUAGGUAUUUGGAGGAACACCAGUGGCGAAGGCGACUUUCUGGUCUGUAACUGACACUGAGGCGCGAAAGCGUGGGGAGCAAAC
rnacentral:rRNA from 1 species